rnacentral:tRNA from 1 species
GGCGGCGUAGCUCAGGGGUUAGAGCACUCGGCUCAUAAUCGAGGUGUCGGUGGUUCAAGUCCACCCGCCGCUACGA